UGAUGGUGAGGGGGUGUGUAUAUAUGAGUAUAGAUAAUGAUAUAUCUGUAUUAGUGCCUUACAUAUUUCAGUGGCUUCUGGUUGCAAUGUCAAUAUUGGCUUUCUUCCUUCUACAGGAAUAAACACUGGAGAAGCCACAGAAAAUGAAACAGAAAGAUACUGAGCUUCAUUCAGUGGAUUUGCUUCAUUUAAGAUUUACUGUGGGAAAGAGGAUGGAAAAUGUUGCUCAGCAGAAAGGAGUGGGGAGUUUGAAGCCAUACAAGCAGCAUGAGGCAAAACUGGAGAAAGCAAGGACAGUGCUGUCCUAUGUGAUGGCAGCCUGUAAAGGCUGGAUUAGACACACAACAGCCACAUCACUGAGCUGAGCCAUGUGAGUACAAAGAGGGUGAAGGAGUGUUUGAACAGGGACAGCAAAUUGGUGCAACAGAGCAGCUCUAAAUCCUCAAAGGCAAGAUUACUCUGGAGAUGAAGUGACCAAAGCAGGGGCUGCUGCUGAGGGUGGAAAACCACAGGACCUGCAGAGGAAAAGGCAGAACUUGUGUUUGAAUGGCCAUAUUCAUGUUAACAAUUCAGUUACUUAUCUCUUAUGAAGUCACUUUAGAGCCACCUGUAAGUCCUUUGAAUAUGAUUGACAAUUACUGUGACUAUUUGCUUUUCCUUCUUGGGGAUUGUGAAAUUUUAAUCAAAAUUACCUCAGUAUAAUAAGUUCGCAAAAGCUGAAUUCCUAAUGGUUUUUCCCCAACACUUUUACAAUCUGAUCAAUCUUUAAUAAUGAGACUGAGCUUGUAAAAAAAAAACAAAACAAUUUUCUACUCAGACAAAGCAAUUUCAUCAGAAAUGAACCAUCUUAAGUGAAUACAUUGAUUUAGAUUAAAUUUGAUGGGAAAAUAUCAAAAUGAAUAAUUUUACCUUAUUUCAUUCUGGCAAUGUUGAAAUAUUUUAUAUUGGCAUUUUAUUCAUUUAAUUUCAACUCCUAUGGUAUUUACAUUAUUUUGAUGUUCCUAUGCUAUUGCAUAUAAGAGUUUCAGUGAUCCAAACUCAGAAUGUUUGUUAUGUGCACUGAAAAUAAAUGUCAAAAUGUUGGAAUUUCCCGUGGGAUCAGAAUUCUGCCUUCUAUUUACAAUAAAAAGUGUAAAGAAAUACAGUACUCCAGAGUAAGUCUGACCUUAGUCCUUCUCAGCUCUGGAAUGCCAGGCAAUCUAAUAUAUGGAUCAGGAUUGUGUAAUAAGAUUUCUGAAUGAUUUAUGCCAAUCACAUUUUCAUUAUUUCCUCACCAGUACUGGCAGUGGUAAUUCUUUGUACACUAAUGCAUCUUUCCWAUCCAGCUAGAUAGAACUUCUGUGAAAUAAACUGCCACAAGUCUCCUCGGAGCAUGGCUUCCAGCUUUAAGGAUUGUUCAGAUAUUUAAUCCUUUUUUUUUCUGAAUUAGGUCCAGUUCUGCUCAAUGUGUGAUUUAAAUCCCCAGAAUUAUCAUUGAUACUUUUUUUACAAAAAGUUCUGCAGCAUUGAUGAGUUUCAAUCCAUGCAGAGAUAAUGGCAACUGUCCUCCUGUGCWUGCUCAUAAAAUUGAUCUGAGAGAGAUCAAUGAGAUGGUGGGACUUUCCUUAAAACACCAGAAUGAUGCUUAAAAAGAUGAGAAUGGGAUUUUUUUUUUUUUUAAAUUAAACACAUAACCAAUCUUCAUGUAAAGCAAGAUGGCUUCAGCUUGUGCUGAGGAAGGAAUUAACACAUCAGGUGAAAAAUUCACCUCCACAAAUGGUGUUCCUGAAGGAAGGGGAAACCAAGUUUGAAAGAUACCUGUAUAAAAAAUGGAUUGGUUUGAUACUUUCCUGAAACAAUUACAACUGCUAUUUCCAYGCACUGCAUAAACUAUUUCAUCUUCUUGUCUACUGGAAAAAAAAACUUAUACAAACCCUGUGCAGGACCCACUCUGAAAUUUAAUAUAUGGGGGAACAUUGUGAUUAAAAAAUUUGAAUUUGGCAGUCUUAAUUCAGGUCAGAUUGCCCUGUCCUGAAGAUGUAAGUUUUGAUCUCUUAAUGAGUUAUCUCCUCUCAAAACACUGACAMAGAGCUCAAAUAACAACAUUGAGUUUUCUGCAGUGUCUUUAGCCCCACUGGAGUCUCUGAUCCCCCUGUUCUCCUGCUUAUAGGAUAAACGUGGGAACUCAGUGCAAUAAAUGUAAGGAGGCGUACACAAAGGAGAGAUGGUAACCAGAGCUUCCCUAACRGGCUGUUAUACUCUCUAAACCUAGAGCAACACACAGAGAAAAUUAUUUUCUUAUCAACAGAAUCUGCUGGGGAUCUGAAAAACAGGCUUUUUGUAUUUAGCUUCUCAAGUGCAGACUUAAGAUGUGUUUGCUGAUGCCUGCUGAAAAUUUCCAGUGCRCCUUGUGCAUCCCACUCCACCAAAAAUACUGCAUGGAACCUGUUUGUAGAAACCCUGAGGGUGGAAAUGCUGAUUACAGCCUCUGAAAUUCUGUCAUAAACAAUGCAAAAUAUUAGCAUAAAUUAUAUCAGCAUUUUUUUUUGU